rnacentral:tRNA from 1 species
CAGGCGGUAUUUUAGUUUAGAAUUUUGGCCUUGGGUGCCGAUAGUGGGAGUGAGAGUCUCUCUUGCCUGA